UACGGAGGAUUCGAGCGUUAUCCGGAUUUACUGGGCGUAAAGGGUGCGUAGGUGGUCUUUCAAGUCGGUGGUUAAAGGCUACGGCUCAACCGUAUUAAGCCGCCGAAACUGGAAGACUUGAGUGCAGGAGAGGAAAGUGGAAUUCUCAGUGUAGCGGUGAAAUGCGUAGAUAUUGAGAAGAACACCAGUAGCGAAGGCGGCUUUCUGGCCAUAAACUGACGCUGAGGUACGAAAGCGUGGGUAGCAAACAGG
rnacentral:rRNA from 1 species